UACCAGCACCCCGAGUGGUCGGGACGAUUAUUGGGCCUAAAGCAUCCGUAGCCGGUUUUACAAGUCCUCCGUUAAAUCCAACUGCUUAACAGAUGGGCCGCGGAGGUUACUAUAAGACUAGGAGGCAGGAGAGGCAAGCGGUACUCAGUGGGUAGGGGUAAAAUCCGUUGAUCCAUUGAAGACCACCAGUGGCGAAGGCGGCUUGCCAGAAUGCGCUCGACGGUGAGGGAUGAAAGCUGGGGGAGCAAACCGG
rnacentral:rRNA from 1 species